rnacentral:rRNA from 1 species
ACAGCAGUCGCCACGGUAAUACGUAGGUGGCAAGCGUUGUCCGGAAUUAUUGGGCGUAAAGGGCUCGCAGGCGGUUUCUUAAGUCUGAUGUGAAAGCCCCCGGCUCAACCGGGGAGGGUCAUUGGAAACUGGGAAACUUGAGUGCAGAAGAGGAGAGUGGAAUUCCACGUGUAGCGGUGAAAUGCGUAGAGAUGUGGAGGAACACCAGUGGCGAAGGCGACUCUCUGGUCUGUAACUGACGCUGAGGAGCGAAAGCGUGGGGAGCGAACAGGAUUAGAUACCCCAGUAGUCCCUGUCUCUUAUAA